ensembl:misc_RNA Metazoa_SRP Metazoan signal recognition particle RNA
AGGUCGGCAUCAAUAUGGUGACCUCCCUGGAGUGGGGGACCACCAGGUUGCCUAAGGAGGAGUGAACUGGCCCAGGCCGGUAACGGAGCAGGUCAAACCUCCCGUACUGAUCAG